rnacentral:lncRNA from 1 species
NNNNNNNNNNNNNNNNNNNNNNNNNNAAGUGCUGCUUCUGCAGCUGGGAGCGCUGCUGGGGAGCUGGGAGAGCGUGACAUUUUGGGGCAGCAAAGCUGGCCUUUUCUGCUCCAGCACCUUUAUCAGAUCCCCAGUUAACUGCUUCCUGGUCAUUUAUCUGCUGACAGACAGAUCCUUAGGGAAAGCCAUGCAGAUCUGGAGCCUGGAAAAAUACUUUCCAAAACGGCUAGUUACGGUGACUAACCCAAGCGCUCAGAGUUAACUGGCAAGCUCCCAGAGCAGCGAGGUCCACGCCUGACUGCCGCAGAGCCUGGCAGCCAGCAGCCCCGGCAGAAGCGUCUUUCCAAGCCUGGGCACCGGACUACGCCGCGCCGCAGGGCUAGCGGGACGAGGGAACCGGGCUGGCGGGAGGUGCGCGGGCGGAGGGAUACCCGGAGCUUAGUGCUCUCCGAAACAGCCCCUCACAAACUCCUUUUGCAAGUGCUGCGGAGCCGCAGGGGAAGCAGCCAGCCACCCAGGGCCGCUGGAAGGGCGCCGGAAGCCUUGAGACCAUGCACAAAACACAACGCGCUGUCUCACGCACGCAGCGCCCUGAGCCCUGCAAGCAGGCGACGCACAGCGUCACGCCUACAGUCUGACCCAGCUGGAGGUGGCUCCGGCCGGGGGGCCCAAGGCAGCCCUAAGCAGUUGUUUCUGCUGCCCCGCAUACCUGGGCACUGCACGGGGGGAAAGACAGAGGGGAAAACCCUGUCCAGGGCCCAGAGGAAACAGGGCAGGACUAGAGAUGAAGCAUCUGGAAGUGCAGCCCCAGCUGCCCCCAGAGAGACCGUCGCCGGCCAGCACACGUGCGUUCACCCGCAGACAGCUUUCAGGAGGAGGAGAAGGGCGUCACCAACGCCAAGCGCCCGACCCGAGCGCUCGGGGCCGAGCGCGAGAGGAGCCGGCCUGAGAGCAGAGAGACUCCUGCUCUCUGCUCUCUCCUCCCACCGCGGGACGGACCAAAGCAGCCCAACGUCUCCUUCUCUGGCAGGGUGGCGGGCAGCGCGCUCGCUCUCGG